UACGAAGGGGGCUAGCGUUGUUCGGAAUCACUGGGCGUAAAGCGCACGUAGGCGGAUGUGCCAGUCAGGGGUGAAAUCCCGGAGCUCAACUCCGGAACUGCCUCUGAUACAGCACGUCUUGAGUUCGAGAGAGGUGGGUGGAAUUCCUAGUGUAGAGGUGAAAUUCGUAGAUAUUAGGAAGAACACCGGUGGCGAAGGCGGCCCACUGGCUCGAUACUGACGCUGAGGUGCGAAAGCGUGGGGAGCAAGCAGG
rnacentral:rRNA from 1 species